UACAGAGGUCUCAAGCGUUGUUCGGAAUCACUGGGCUUAAAGCGUGCGUAGGUGGAUCUGUAAGUCAGAAGUGAAAUCCCCGGGCUUAACCCGGGAACUGCUUUUGAGACUGCAUGUCUGGAAUUCGGUAGAGGUUAGUGGAAUAUCCAGUGUAGAGGUGAAAUUCGCAGAUAUUGGAUGGAACACCAGUGGCGAAGGCGACUAACUGGACCGACAUUGACACUGAGGCACGAAAGCGUGGGUAGCAAACAGG
rnacentral:rRNA from 1 species